rnacentral:rRNA from 1 species
GAUUGAAGUCUGCAACUCGACUUCAUGAAGCCGGAAUCACUAGUAAUCGCGAAUCAGCUAUGUCGCGGUGAAUACGUUCUCGGGUCUUGUACACACCGCCCGUCACACCAUGAGAGUUGGUAAUACCAGAAGUAGGUAGCUUAACCGUUUGGAGAGCGCUUCCCAAGGUAGGACUAGCGAUUGGGGUGAAGUCGUAACAAGGUAUCCGUACGGGAACGUGCGGAUGGAUCACCUCCUUU